rnacentral:misc_RNA from 1 species
CAGACGGCGCUCAGUCGCUCGCUCGCCUGUCGCACGACCGGACCUCACGCCGCACCUAGUUCUCUCGUACUCAUCUUCCCCCGUUGACGGACACCAGAUAAUCCAACCAACACAAAAUGCCCUCCGAAACCUACCUGAAGGCCGACCCCGAGCUGAAGCAGGAGCUCGCCGACAUCGCUCGGCGGAUCGUAGCUGCCGGUAAGGGUAUCCUCGCCGCCGACGAGUCAACCGCGACGAUCGGCAAGCGCCUCCAGCAGAUCAACACCGAGAACAACGAGGACAACCGCAAAGCAUACAGGCAGCUCCUCUUCACAACGAACAAGGAGGUGAUAAGCCAGCACAUAUCCGGCGUGAUCCUCUUCCACGAGACUCUCUACCAGAAGGCAGACGACGGCACGCCCUUCGUCGACCUGCUCAAGGAGCGCAACAUCAUCCCCGGGAUCAAGGUGGACAAGGGUGUCGUCCCACUGUUCGGCACCGACGACGAGUGCACAACCCAAGGCCUCGAUGAUCUCCAGGCCCGCUGCGUCCAGUACAAGAAGGACGGCUGCCACUUUGCCAAGUGGCGCUGCGUCCUCAAGAUCAAAAAGGACUGUCCCUCGAAGCUCGCCAUCCUCGAGAACGCUAACGUGCUCGCCCGCUACGCCUCGAUCUGCCAGAGCGCGAGGAUAGUGCCGAUCGUCGAGCCCGAGAUCCUGCCCGACGGCGACCACGACCUCGCCAGGUGCCAGCAGGUCACCGAGGAGGUGCUCGCCGCCGUUUACAAGGCGCUGGCCGAUCACCACGUCUACCUCGAGGGCACCCUCCUCAAGCCGAACAUGGUGACCCCGGGCCAGAGCUGCCCGAACAAGGCCAAGCCCGAGGAGAUCGCCUUCGCGACGGUGACCGCGCUGUCGCGCACCGUGCCCCCGGCGGUGCCCGGCAUCACCUUCCUCAGCGGUGGCCAGUCCGAGGAGGAGGCUUCCAUCAAUCUCGAUGCCAUCAACAAGUGCCCGCUCAAGAAGCCCUGGGCCCUUACCUUCAGCUACGGCCGCGCCCUUCAGGCGUCCGUGUUGCAAGCUUGGGGCGGCAAGAAGGACCAGGUGGCCAAGGGUCAAGAUGAGCUCAUCAAGCGAGCCAAGGCCAACGGCGCAGCCUGCCAAGGCAAGUACGUGGCCGGCAGCAUAUCCAGCUUGGCGGGCAAAACCUCGCUCCACGUUAAAUCACACGCAUACUAAAAACACACCCAAAAAUCAAAUACACCUCUUGUCACAAGUCAUUUUGUUUUUCUUCACAAGGCAAACAGCGAAGCAGCUCUUGGAAAGUACGCCGGUGGUGUUGCCGGAGCGGCCGGCGAUGCUGCCCUCUUCGUUGCAAAUCAUGCUUAUUA